UACGAAGGGGGCUAGCGUUGUUCGGAUUUACUGGGCGUAAAGCGCACGUAGGCGGAUCGUUAAGUCGGGGGUGAAAUCCUGGAGCUCAACUCCAGAACUGCCUUCGAUACUGGCGAUCUUGAGUCCGGAAGAGGUGAGUGGAAUUCCUAGUGUAGAGGUGGAAUUCGUAGAUAUUAGGAAGAACACCAGUGGCGAAGGCGGCUCACUGGUCCGGUACUGACGCUGAGGUGACGAAAGCGUGGGGAGCAAACAGG
rnacentral:rRNA from 1 species